GGCUCCGUGGUCAAGUGGUUAAGACAUCGCCCUUUCACGGCGGUAACACGAGUUCGAGCCUCGUCGGAGUCA
rnacentral:tRNA from 2 species